AUUUAGUAACAGUACAGCUGAAGGAAAUAUAGGAAGCCUAAUAGCAUAUUCUUUUUUUAAUUGAUCGAUAGCAAAAAGGAUAAGUUGGCAUCUUGCUGCUGAGAUUUGCAGUAUGGUCAGAGGAAUCCUUGAAGCAAACCACUGCUGGGUCAUCCACCAAUACAGGAAGGAUGGAGCAUUGUGUGCGAUCCACAACACACGCUGAUCUUCUACCAGUUUUUUCCGGUAUGCUUCUCUUGAUAAAUUGGCUGGUAAAGAGGGCCACCACAAGUUGAUGGGAGGUCCUAUAAGCGCUGCUCCUUCCAAUCUGCAUCAAUGUAACCUAUGUAUACUGUUUAUUUCAUACAAUUUAAUGAAAUUUUGUCAGAUUCAGUUUUUUUUUGC